AUUGAACGCUGGCGGCAGGCCUAACACAUGCAAGUCGAACGAGCGGCGGACGGGUGAGUAAUGUAUGGGAAACUGCCCGAUAGAGGGGGAUAACUACUGGAAACGGUAGCUAAUACCGCAUACUACCAGAUGUGCCCAGAUGGGACUAGCUAGUAGGUGUGGUAAGGGCUUACCUAGGCGACGAUCCCUAGCUGGUCUGAGAGGAUGACCAGCCACACUGGGACUGAGACACGGUCCAGACUCCUACGGGAGGCAGCAGUGGGGAAUAUUGCACAAUGGGCGCAAGCCUGAUGCAGCCAUGCCGCGUGUAUGAAGAAGGCCUUCGGGUUGUAAAGUACUUUCAGUGGGGAGGCGUUACCGGCAGAAGAAGCACCGGCUAACUACGUGCCAGCAGCCGCGGUAAUGC
rnacentral:rRNA from 1 species